UAUUGAGUCGCCCUUUCCUGUUUUAAAUGCUGAACACGUUUCAGAAACUACCUUAUCUGACUGCUUGAAUGGUUUCAUUUUUCACUUAUUAUCAUUAUUGCACUGCCUUACCUUUUCAAUAUGUCAAUGUCAAGUCCGAGCUAUUUGCUGUCAUUGUUUUCACUAUAGAGGAAAUAUAAGAAAUGAAACAUGAAAAUAUAAUAUUUCGUCUACAGCUUUCACAUCCGACAUCGACGUAUGUAUAUUUUAUUAUUAUUAUUAUUAUAACUUUAUUAACAAUAAAAUAUUCAUUUAGAGCAGAUUUAGCUACAGCAUCUGCAACUUCGUUGCCAUUGAUACCUUGGUGCCCUGGGAUCCAUGCAAUUUUUAGUUUUCCACUUCUCGAGAUGAGUUUAUCGCGGAUGGAUUCGAUAAUUUCACUAUUAUUAUUAAUGUUGUUGAUGGCAUUUACAGAGGAUAGACUGUCUGUAAAUAUGAUAGUCUUUUUGUCCUCGGAUUUUUCAAUUGCCAUAAGAAUGGCAAAAGCUUCAGCUGUGAAUAUCGAGGUGAAAAUUGGAAGUAUGCCUUUGCAGAUGGUUGUUGAGUUUUCUGCGAUAACAGCAAAUGAUGUACCGUCUUGUGUUUUUGAGGCAUCAGUAAACAAUAAGUGCCAUCCUUGUUUCUUGUGGCUCUCUGCCAUGUCAAAAAACAUGGCUUUAAAAGCAUCUUUACUGGUUGAUGUUAUGGUGUAUUUGCUAAGGUUGGUGAGAAUAGACUCUUUUGGUAAGUUCCAGGGCGGAUAGGUGGUUGAGUUUACAUUUUGAAUGGCAAUAGGUAUGUCAAGUUCUUUUGCAGAUGUUAAAGCGGAGUUUAACGUUGAUUUAAGUCUUGGGGUUUUCUUUCGUUUUAUAAUUUUUUUGGCAUCGUUGUGAAUAGGUGACCUUCUGGAGCAGUUUAUUUUUUGUAUCGUAGCCGUAGUAAGAUAUUCGAUUCUUUCAAUAAGCUGUGGUAAACCCGCAUCUGUCAAGAGGUUCCGAAUCGGAGUUGUACGAAAAGCCCUCAUACCGCUCCUGAUGGCUGCGUGAUACGGUGUUGUGAUAAGUUGGGUGGAUGACUUCGAACAUUUACCAUAAAUCGCUAAGCCAUAGUCGAUCCUAGACAAAAUAACAGAUCUUAUUACAUUAAUUAUAGUAUUUACAUUGGAAUAGCUGUUUUUAGAGGAAAGAUAUUUUAUCAAAUUAACUCUAGUAGUAAGGCUCUUUUUUAAAUUUGUACAGUGUUUCUUAAAGGUAAAAUUAGAAUCAAAAAUGAUACCAAGUAUUUUAGCAAAGUUAACAUUAAUUAUAUUAAAAUUAUCUAAUUGUAUUGAGAUAUUUUUACUACAACUACAUUUUUUACAGAUAUGGAGAAGCUCACAUUUUUGUAUUGAAAUUUUUGAACCUGAGUAUUGCCCCCAUUCUGAAAGGCUUUGAAGAAUAUUUGUGAAUUUUGAAGCUAGGGACGUUAAGUCUUUGCGCUUUGAGUAAACAAUCAAGUCGUCGGCAUAUAUUGUGUGACCUACAGUGCUGUGACGGUCAACUAUGGAGCUGAUUUCAUUAAAUGCAAUUAUAAAAAGGACGACUGAUAAAGGCGAUCCUUGUGGAAUGCCAUUUUUCAAAUUAUGAGUAGACGAAUAGGUACCAUUCGCCUUAAUUCGGAAAUAUCUAUUGCUUAAGAAUGAUUUAAUAUAAUUCAGCAUUUUGGGCCCAACUCUCCAAUACGGUAAUCAAUACAUUUAUUUUUUUCAAGGAACCAGAACAAUCGUCUGGAAAUUAUUUUUUCUAAGACUUUCCCUGUACAGGGGAGGAGCGAAAUAGGACGGUAUCCUGAAAUAACAGAGGGAUCUUUAUUCGGCUUAGGGAUCAAAACAAUGCUCGCCACUUUCCAUGCAUGUGGGAUUAUGCCUUCGUUAAAUAUUUGGUUGAACAAAUCCAACAAUCUUAGUUUAAAGGCUGCGGAACUGUUUUUUAGCAUGGCAUAAGAUAUGCGGUCGAAUCCGGGGGUUGUGCCUUUAACAAGGCAUAGACAGCUUUCUAAUUCUGUCAUAUUUAAAGGACAUUCAAUUAGAGCUGCUUAAGGGUUAAUAGUGUACGAUGCGAUUACUAAAUUUUGUUUUUCUCUUAUGAAAGUAGGGUGAACAUUUGAGUCAUCGCCGGAAAUUUUCCAUGUUUUUGCAAAAAAUUCGACAAUUUUUUGUGGACACGUGAUAGCUUCCGUUUCAGCUCUAAUAACUUUGAUUGAGUGAUGCAAAUAAUUUCCAGUGAGUGCUUUUAUGUCGGACCAUAGUUUCUUAGAUGUGGAAAUUGGGUUGAUGUUCGAUGUGAACUUUUCAAAACUUAGAACUUUCUCUGUUUUUACAACUUUACGAAACUUGGCAUUGGCUUUACGGUAGGUUACAAGAUUAUUAUCAGUAGGAUGUUUUUUAAAAAGGAAGUUACCUAACUCCUUUUUCCACCAGGGAACAACUUUUUUGUAAGCCUUGUUUGUUGAUUGCGGAAUAGAUACAUUUGCUGCGGAUCUUACACAUUUUUGUAAAAUGGCAGCUUCUUAAUUAAUGACAUGAGAAGAUUUCCUUUGUACAAUUUCUUUUGAAAGAUUUGAUUAUUGAUGAGUUAGCUAAGAAGCAUGAUGAGGAUGCCCUAGACUUUGAAACCAAAGAAGAAGAAUGCGUUAAACAAGGAAAAUGCUAAAAAGUCCGAUCGCUGUCCCCAGAUGAUUUUGAAAAAGAAAACUAUUGCAUCAAGAACAGCGCUACACCACCAGAAGUUGUCCCACAAUAUCCAAUACAUAAGACUUAUUAAGAACCAAUCGGCCUGCUUCCACUUAUAGGACGCUUUGACCGAGGUCCACCACUUCCGAUCUAGGAUUAUUUAGAUCCUUAUGGCCGCGAGAUUUGAUAUAGAGGGAAACUAACCAAAUAUCAGUUUUUAUAACGAUGAUAGUAGGAGUAAAUUUAUAUUAAAGUUUUGUAAAUAUCAAAAUUCAA